AGAUCCAGUAAACACGUAUUCUGUUGUCUCAGCUGUUAUAAUUAAUUAACUACACUCCUGAUAAUCAAUGCACUUUUCUUGGGAAGCCACAAAGCAUAUCAUCAAUGUCGUCAAUCAAGCUUCCAUUAGAAACAAACCCUUUCUCUAUGCCAAACAGAUAACUUUUCACUGAUUCACCUCUCCAUUUCCUUUCUGACUCGCAUGGGUCUUACAACAUUCUGUUUCAACUCGCCGAUUCCACCCAUCUCCAGUCUUUAUUCACCUCCUCCGCCGCGAAAGGGGCAAAAGCACUCACUAGAUAAGUAUUCUCCCUUCCCUUAAUUACCUCUGUCACUAGAACAUGAGCAAAUUUGUUCGAUUCUCUGUGGGUAAAUCGAAAUCAACAAGAACCAAAACCUGAGCAUAGCUUUUUCGAGUCUUUUAUGUAUAUUUCUAACUCAAAUCUCUCUUCCUCUUGUGCUUGUAGCUUUUGUAUCACUGAUCGAGCAUCGCCUUCGAUUUCUACCACUAACAGUCCUAGAUCCAACCCUAGCAGGAUCGCCUGGAGGCACACCAUCGCUUCAGCAACAAAAACAUACACAUCAAAAUUGAUUUUGGCAGACAACCCUAUUGUAAAUUUUGUGCUCUUCAUUUCCAAGAACCCACG